rnacentral:lncRNA from 1 species
CCGGCGUCGGCCCAGCGGGGACGGCCGGACCGGUCGCCCGGCCGCUCCGUCGCUCGCUCCCAACGUUCCGGGGGGGGUUUCUGCCCCCCGAGCGACGCCUGGCCCCGUGGUAGGACGGGAAGAACUCGGAUUUUUUUUCCUCCUCCUUUCCUUUUUCCAAAGCGGUAGUACGAGGCAAGAAUUCUAAUACAGAGCGGUGACCGUAAUUACACCGUUGGUCUUCCGCAGUCCCCGGGAUCGUUCGCCGCCGCCGUUCCCAAAUGGCUUGGCUUUCCAAACUUCCAUUUCUGUGGCUCUGUCCACAGCGUGGCCUGGUAGAUAGACCCCGGGCCUGGGAGUCAGAGGAGCUGGGUUCUAAUCCCGGCUCCGCCGCUCGUCCGCGGGGCGAAUGACUUCUGUGCCUCGGUUCCCUCGUCCGAAAAAUGGGGAUUAAGGCCGCGCCCUGCGUGGGAUGUGGACUGUGUCCAACCCGAUCAGCUUGUGUCUAACCCAGCGCUUAAUAGGGUGCCUGGUACGUAGUAGGCACUUAACGCACAGCGUUAAAAGAUAAAUCAGUCGUAGAGGCUCGCGCUCAGGCCCCUUGGGACCGAGAGGACGGCUUCCUUUCGCCCCUCCGGCCGGCAGCCCGGCUCGGUUGAGCCCACGGGAUGGGGCUCGGCCUCUUUUCCCGACACCCGCUGCGCCACGCGCGGGCAAGCCCCCGGCCCCGUGUUCCGUCGUCCGACGGCGGCGAAGCGGGGAGCUAAACUGCCAGGCUCCGGGCGCCUCCCCAUCCCCGCUCAAGCCCGCCGGCCCCAGAUCCCCUCGCGUGGAGGUCGCCGGCGAGGGACGGGGGGCAUGGCGGGGUCCAGACUAACGGUUUGGUCCGGUCGGGUCCCCGCGGGGCCUCGCGGAGUUUCCCCGAACGCAGAGGAACCGAACCGGAAGGGCAGAGCGCGGUCCGGGGCGAUGGACGCGAUCGGCUCAGCGGAAGCCGGGGAGGCGGCCGGGUUUAGGUCCAUUUCGGUCCUCCCCCUUCCCCGCGUCUCGGACCCAACGUCCGAGCCUGGAAGCUCGCCCGUCAGCGGGGAACGUGUCCGCGUCGUGCCGUUCCCCCGUCGGCCGACUCUGUCGUCCUCUCCCGAGCGCUCAGUACGGCUCUCCGCGUACAGUUCGCGCUCGAUAAAUCCCGCCGAUGGAUGGGGAUUUCCCCGCCGGGAACGGGUGCCGCGAGCCGCCGAACCGCGGGGAGGUAAAGAUUCCCGUUCGCUCCUCCCAGAGUUACGCCCAGCCGGGUCUCCAGUACAUCCCAGGGCAGCAGAUCUUCGCGGCGCACCCGCAGGGCGUGGUGGUCCAGCCGGCCGCCGCGGUGACCACGAUCGUCACGGCGGGACAGCCCUUGCAACAGCCGGAGCUGGUGGUGACCAAUAACCUCCUGGACCUGCCGCCGCCCUCUCCCCCCAAGCCGAAGACCAUCGUCCUACCUCCUCAUUGGAAGACCGCCCGAGACCCGGAAGGGAAGAUCUACUACUAUCAUGUGAUCACUCGGUGAGCCCCGUCCCCGUCCCCGACCCCCCCUCCCCCCCGGGGGCCCGAGCGGGGUCCCCGCAGAUCUUGGCGAUCCAUCGCCGGGCCCGGCCGCCACCUCCCGUCUGGGGCGUUGGACCGGACCGCGCCACGACCGAGCGGGGUUCCGGGUAGCGGCGGAGAGCGGCCCGGGGUUCGUGUCUGACCCUCGAGACUCCCACCCCCCCCCUCAGAGUAGCCCGCUGAGUCACCGGGGAGGUAACUGGGCGAUGUGGGCGGCCAGGGUCCUCCGGACCCCCCCGGGGGUGGCCGCACUGACGUCGGGGCACUCCCCGAACCGGCUCCCGUGGCCCGC